UUGAUUAAGUGAGAGCUGUUACGCACAGCCCCCUCUCCCGGCUCCACUUUCUCACUCCUGGCCCCCCCUUUCACCCCUACCCCCAACUCCCACCCAGCCAUUCGCCUGCAGCCCUGGAAAAGGACAGUUUCUUGUCUCCUGCAGGGCACCUAGUACCAGUUGCCUGGCACCCGGCUUUCGGAGAGGUCUGAAGACUGCCAAAUCCAUGCUAAGAACCCUCACUAUAAAGCACCAGUGAUUUUGAAGGUUCUCGAUAUCUUUCUCCACCAAAUGAGUUCCUGUGACAUCCAAGGACUUGGCUGGGAGAUACUCCUUUGGUCUGGAUAGGAUUUCCUCGUUUCCAAAUCAUCGGCGGGCGAGUGAUUGUCUUCCUUA